AGUAUUCAUAGCUUAUCGAAAAGCAACUGGAAAUCGUUUUGUAUGCAAGUGUGACAUGCGUGGAGAAGAACCUCCUAGCUAGCCUUCCAUCCAUAAGUUUCAUUCAAAUUCAUUUUACAAUCUGUUUUGAUUCACUUAAAUUUGUCUAAGAAUUUGUUUACUUUGUCCUUGUCUUAAUUUAAUUAUUUUCGUCCAAAAUCAACCCUAUCUUAUUUCUUUGAGUCAUAUUAAUUAGAACUUGUCUUAGAUUAUGUUUUUAAGUGUUUUAGUUCAUUAGAA
rnacentral:lncRNA from 1 species